UUCGGUUGCGCGGAGACCGCAGCUGUUCCCUGUCAGUGGAGGCAGCGGCCGUACAGGCGGUGGCGACGACUUGCGGCGGCAGCGAGGAGAUGGAGAAGCUGAGGGCACGGAGCCCUCAGAUGCCUCGCGCGAGGUCCCUGAGGGUUCGAACCCAGGUCUGUCAGAAUCCGGAGCCCAAGUGUCCCCCGUCAUACUGGAAGUUGCUCAGCUCUGAAGAAAGCCGUGGCGUAUAGUGCCUGCCUUCUGAGAGCCGACAAACACUGAGGGUAAGUCCUGUGCCUGGAUCCAGGUCAGUGGGAUGUGCGUGGGUCGUCUCCAGGAGCAACCGCUGUAGAUGUCAGCAGCCCUGGCGCUCCGGUGAUCAAGCUCAGUCAAUAAAAAAGGCCAAGCAGUCCGAUUUUUGGAAAAUAUAAGCAGUCUUUGUCUAUUCCCAGCACUUUUGGUUUUCUUGGUUUUCACAAGACCACGGUGUCUGGCUCCCUGCUGGCCCCAGUUGGCAGCUAGCCCGCCUCAGCAGGAGGCCCAGCUUCUGGAAGGGUGUGGCUCAGCAGGCCCAUCAGGGGG